GUACAGAGAAUUUUCUCCUGCUCAUCCCUUGUCUGAUCAAUCCAGAAUAAUUGCUGGGCGGACAGAAGGCGACUAACUUGCAUGAGGUUCUUCCUAAUCGUUAAUUCAGAUUACCCUCUUCUCCACACCCUACUGCACUGUCUGGAGUUCUAGCCAUUUGUCGAGUGUGUGCGCUUGUGUGUGCGUGUCCUUGGUCCACAGUCUUUGGGUUAGAGCCACAGACGCCUCACUAACGGGUCCCUGCAGAGCCGAGAGCUCUGAGCACGUGGCCACUGAGCCCCCUGGGAAGGGAGGAGGUUCUCUUUCCCACACACGUCUCCUCGUAGCGGUGAGCACAGCUCAGUGCUGAGUGCAGCCAGAGGCUUGCUUUCCCUUCUCGCCCUAAGAUGUAAAAACAAGACCUUGGUCUGUCGGACCGGGACCGGCAGUGGCUGGGCUUCCCACUCUGGAGUCUGGAGAAGGAAGGUUGUAUUACGAGGGAAGCUGCUGGUUGGAUGAGCAGAGAACUCAGUGAACGGGAAAGUGAAGAGAUGUUUCUCAGGACCUAAACCAGAAAGUCUCCACUCUGACGGCAGAGUCGAGAAUGUUCCUCUUAGAGGCCCCUGCUGCUUUUCAAAUCCCGGAGAAGGCACCGUGACGUCAUGAAAACCACCAAUUGAAUGAGUUUCUUAGGUGCCUGUCUUUUAGGGCGCGGGGCUUGCAACCAGCCCCCAGGUCACUGCCCCACCCUGCCAGAGGCCCUGCAAGCUUGGCCAGGGACAGUCACCCCAGUUUGUUCUUCUGGGCCCUCCUUGCCUCAUAGGGGUUUCUCACAGACUGUGCUUCAUCGGUUGUGAGAUCUUUUCUCCGAGUAACUAAGGGAAGGAUUUUCGUUCCCACCGUCCACAUCAAUAGAUAUCCCCCACACGGACCACAAGGUGAGGAGACCCCCGCUGCACCAGCCUCUUUAUCGAAGAAUAACCUUGGUGCUUCUUGCUGGAAGAUGCUGCCCGUGAGGAACCGGAGACUAAGAGCUUGCAGUGUGGAACUAGAGAUGUCCCACAAGUGACUGGACAGAGGAUAGAAGGAACGCAGUGAUCAUAAAGCUGCCUGCACGUGGUCGUGACAUUGCACCCAAGCAUGUCAUGUUCAAACUGCAGAAAAUCAAAGACACAGAGAAAAUCUUGAAAGAAGCCAGAGGUGGGCAAAAACCCUUACUGACAGAGGAACAAGGAUAAAAAUGACAUCGUAUUUCUGUUCUGAAACCAUGCAAACAAGAAGAUAGCAGAGUGAUGUAUUUACAGUAUUGAAAGAAAAAACUACCAAUUUAGAAUUCUGUCCUCUGCAGAAGUAGCCUUUGAAAGUGAAGAGGAAACAAAGACUUUCUCUGACAAAUAAAAAUGGAGAAAAUUUGUCAUCAGUAGAACUGCCUUGCGAGAAUUGUCAGAAGAAUUUCUUUAGAGGGAAGGACAGUGCUAUAGGUUGGAAACCCAGAUCGACAUGAAAAACAAAGAGCAUUGAAGAAGGAAUAAAUGA
rnacentral:lncRNA from 1 species